GUCCUAUCCAUCCGGCCCAUUGGCUGGUCACCACCCAACGGACUGAAAGGAUUGGUCAAGAAUCAACGCCCCCUCCCCACCCACUCCCAGGAAAGCCCGCCUUCCGGACCUAAACAAAGCUUCCUAGUGGCCAGAACCCGAAAGAACUGUCCAAUCAGGACGGGCCCGACACGGAAUAUUUCCUCGAGGCCGAGACGUGGCGUUUUGAUUGGGCGUCACUACAGUGUUUCCCAGGCCGUCCAGACCAAUCAAAGGGGGUUCCCGGAACUCGGGAGCGGCGAAGGGAAGCCCCGCCCCCGAGCGUGACCGUCAUGAGGAAGGCGCUCCCUCAUUGGCACGCUGGGGCUUUUCCCGCGUGCUCCCGGGGCUGAAGGACGUUCCCGGGGAAGCCGCUGCUGGCGCGUGGGGUCCCGGUGGCUGUGGGGGACGCGCCGGGAUCUCCGGGAUCCCGCAGCCCGCCGCCGCUGCCGGUGGGGAGCCGGACGCGGGGGGCCUCGGGGCUGAGGUCCGCAGGGGUGCCGCGCCCUGGAGUCCGACUGCCUAGGAGUCCGGGCGUCGCUGCCGGCCGUGGGGGAGGGGCGAGCCUCCCGCCAGGCCCCGCCCCCUCGGCGCCGCGUCCCCACGGCCCCGGCGCCGCCCGCCUGCGCCCGCCUCCUGUGCCCGCCCCCGGUGAGCUCCGUUGUCCCCUUUUCUGGCGGCUUAAAAUACCGAAACUUUAUUUUGGUCACGUUGCCCAUGUGACCCGCGGAGCGGAUGACUCAUGGUUGCCUGUCCCAGGAUGAGGCCGCCGGCCGAAAGCAGAGAAGCGCCAGCCCCGGCCGCCCGGGUGGAGCGCUGGGCAGCCGAGUUUCCCACCCUCCUCAAUCCGGAGAGUCCGCGCGGGGCUUUUCCUAAUAAAUAGCCAGGCACCCGCUGCCCUCGCGCUGCGUACGGGAGCACGUGCCCCCCGGGAGGUGGGCGCCCGCCAGGUGCCCCGGGAACGAGCCUAGGAACCGGGUCCGCCGAGUGCGGCUCUCGGGGCGGCUAGGCGUGCGGGUGGCUGGGCAGCGCUCCCAGGGACCGGCCUCUCUCCGGAGAAAGUAAGGAAUUCUGCUCCUGGGCAGGUAAUACCGGAAACAAAAGGAGAGGCUGCAAUCGCAAAUUGUUUAAAAAGAAGAAAAAGGAAAGAAAAGUUGAAUGUAAGAGCUCCAGCCCCUCAAUGUGAUCUUGUACGGUUUGCAGUAAGAACAUUUCAUUCUUCCGCAUUUUAUUUUUCCUUUUGCUACUGUUGGUGACAACUAGCAAAAUAAGUGAAAAAUCCUCGUUCAAGUGUUCUGGCAUUAAGAUUGACUGUCACACUGAAUUCUGUGCCAAUCCUAACAACAUGUGUUCUUUUUCUGGUCUUCACAAGUAAGAAUGUCUUAGGUUUUCCAGAAAUAAAGAUGUCCCAAAAGAAUGUUUUGUGUUACACACUCAUUCUUCAAGAAACUUUAAUUUUAUGAGCCUCAAAAAUUGCAAAAUUUUAACAACGGCGGGACAAUAUUUUAUCGAUUAGCAUUCUUAAUAGCACCUAUGUUGACGAUUUGUGUGGAGAAACGGAUUCUUAAAAGAAGUGCUGGUGGCAUUGUAAAUUAGUAUAUUCCUUUCGAAAAGCAAUUUUACAGUAUGUAUUAAAAGCCAUAAAAAUGUCUGCAUCUUUUGACCCAGUGAUCUUACUUCUGGGAAUCUGUUCUAAGGAAAUAACACUAAAUGCCAGAAAAGCUGUAUGUGUGAAGGUAUUCUUCACAGGAUCACUGUACUUAACUACAACAAAA
rnacentral:lncRNA from 1 species